UACGUAGGUGGCAAGCGUUGUCCGGAUUUACUGGGCGUAAAGAGCGCGCAGGCGGUCGUACAAGUCGCGUGUGAAAGCCCCCGGCUCAACUGGGGAGGGUCACGCGAUACUGUUCGACUCGAAGGCAGGAGAGGGAAGUGGAAUUCCCGGUGUAGUGGUGAAAUGCGUAGAUAUCGGGAAGAACACCAGUGGCGAAGGCGGCGGCCUGGACAGAACCUGACGCUGAGGCACGAAAGCUGGGGGAGCGAACAGG
rnacentral:rRNA from 1 species